rnacentral:rRNA from 1 species
UACGAAGGGGGCUAGCGUUGCUCGGAAUCACUGGGCGUAAAGGGUGCGUAGGCGGGUCUUUAAGUCAGGGGGUGAAAUCCUGGAGCUCAACUCCAGAACUGCCCUUUGAUACUGAGGAUCUUGAGUUCGGAAGAGGUGAGUGGAAUUGCGAGUGUAGAGGUGAAAAUUCGUAGAUAUUCGCAGGAACACCAGUGGCGAAGGCGGCUCACUGGUCCGAUACUGACGCUGAGGGUGCGAAAGCGUGGGGAGCAACAGGG